rnacentral:rRNA from 1 species
CGCGGUGAGCGGCGGACGGGUUAGUAACGCGUGGGAACAUACCCUUUUCUACGGAAUAGCCUCGGGAAACUGAGAGUAAUACCGUAUAAGCCCUUCGGGGGAAAGAUUUAUCGGGAAAGGAUUGGCCCGCGUUAGAUUAGAUAGUUGGUGGGGUAAUGGCCUACCAAGUCUACGAUCUAUAGCUGGUUUUAGAGGAUGAUCAGCAACACUGGGACUGAGACACGGCCCAGACUCCUACGGGAGGCAGCAGUGGGGAAUCUUAGACAAUGGGCGCAAGCCUGAUCUAGCCAUGCCGCGUGUGUGAUGAAGGUCUUAGGAUCGUAAAGCACUUUCGCCAGGGAUGAUAAUGACAGUACCUGGUAAAGAAACCCCGGCUAACUCCGUGCCAGCAGCCGCGGUAAUACGGAGGGGGUUAGCGUUGUUCGGAAUUACUGGGCGUAAAGCGUACGUAGGCGGAUUG